rnacentral:rRNA from 1 species
GGAGUGCUCGAAAGAGAACCUGCACACAGGUGCUGCAUGGCUGUCGUCAGCUCGUGUCGUGAGAUGUUGGGUUAAGUCCCGCAACGAGCGCAACCCUUGCCAUUAGUUGCUACGAAAGGGCACUCUAAUGGGACUGCCGGUGACAAACCGGAGGAAGGUGGGGAUGACGUCAAGUCCUCAUGGCCCUUAUAGGUGGGGCUACACACGUCAUACAAUGGCCGGUACAGAGGGUAGCCAACCCGCGAGGGGGAGCCAAUCCCACAAAGCCGGUCGUAGUCCGGAUCGCAGUCUGCAACUCGACUGCGUGAAGUCGGAAUCGCUAGUAAUCGCGGAUCAGCAUGUCGCGGUGAAUACGCUCCCGGGUCUU